rnacentral:tRNA from 47 species
GCGCCCGUAGCUCAGCUGGAUAGAGUACCUGGCUACGAACCAGGUGGUCGGAGGUUCGAAUCCUUCCGGGCGCGCCA